rnacentral:lncRNA from 10 species
CUGACCUUGUGAUUCACCUGCCUCGGCCUCCCAAAGUGCUGGGAUUAUAGGUGUGGGCCACUGCGCCCGGCCUAUUUUUUAAAUAAAAUGUUGAAGAGCUCAUGAAUACUAAACAAAGUGACAAACAAUGGUUGUGUGGAUACUCCAAGGACAGUUUCUAUUGAAUGUGUGUCACUUUUGCAUCAUCGUAAAGUUGAAAAAUUGUAGAUCGAACCAUCAUAAUUUGGGACCAACUGUACAUAAUUUAUCAGAUAGUGGUAAGUGCUAAAAAGAAAAAAAGAAUGUGGAUAACAAGUGUUGUGGACUCGGGGGGGAGAUGUUGGAAGUUAGCGUAGCCAUGGGAGGCAUCACUGAGGUAUCUUUCGAGUCAAGUCUUGAAGAAAAUGAGACAGCAAGCCACACAGAUGUGAGAGAAGAGUAUUUCAGGUCCUAUUAGGGGUCCCAUUGGAGGAGCCAGCCUGGUAUGUUCUCGGAACAACAGGGAGGUGAGCAUGCCACAGCAGAGCAAACGAGCAGAGAAGCACGGUGGGAAACCGGAGAUGUAAUGGGAGUCAGAGCAUGUAGCGCUUUAUAGGUCCUGCAAGGACACUGAGUGAGACGGGAAACCUCUGGAGAGUUUUCAGCAGAAGGAUAAAAUGGUCUGACUAAUGUUUUAACAAAAUCACUCCAGCUGCUGUCUGGAGAAUAGACCGAAGGCAAUAAGGGUAGAGCAGAAAGGAAAACCAAUUAAGCUAUUGCAGUAACCUAAGUGUGACAUGAUAUAGCGGCUUGGACUUGGGUGGUGGCAGUGGCAGUGUGCAAAGUGGCAUUCUGGAUAUUUUACAAUGAUAGGAGGAUGGCUAGGACUUAAUGGAUGUAGGCAUGAGAAAAAAAAAGGGAGAGGGGGCGGUUAAUGGGGCCAGGGUUUUGACCUGAGCAACCGCAUGAAGUUGCUAUUGCUUCACUUAGGGAAGACUGUGAGGGAACAGGUUUGGGAAAUAUAAGGAGCUCAGUUUUGGACGUGUUAAGAUUGAGAUGCUUAAUUAGACUUUUUAUUGAUUUCAUGGAGACUAUUGGAUAUGAACCUGGGGUUUAGGAAAGAGGUUUGGGCUGGAGAUAUAAAUUUGGAAGUCAUCAGCAUGGUCUUAAAACUAGCUGAGAUCACCAAGGAAGCAGGUGCUGAUAGAAAUUAGAGAGGAAGGCCGGGCGCGGU